rnacentral:rRNA from 1 species
AGUGAACGCUGGCGGUAGGCCUAACACAUGCAAGUCGAACGGCAGCACAGUAAGAGCUUGCUCUUACGGGUGGCGAGUGGCGGACGGGUGAGGAAUACAUCGGAAUCUACUUUUUCGUGGGGGAUAAUGUAGGGAAACUUACGCUAAUACCGCAUACGACCUACGGGUGAAAGCAGGGGAUCUUCGGACCUUGCGCGAUUGAAUGAGCCGAUGUCGGAUUAGCUAGUUGGCGGGGUAAAGGCCCACCAAGGCGACGCUCCGUAGCUGGUCUGAGGGGAUGAUCAGCCACACUGGAACUGAGACACGGUCCAGACUCCUACAGGAGGCAGCAGUGGGGAAUAUUGGACAAUGGGCGCAAGCCUGAUCCAGCCAUACCGCGUGGGUGAAGAAGGCCUUCGGGUUGUAAAGCCCUUUUGUUGGGAAAGAAAAGCAGCAGGUUAAUACCCCGCUGUUCUGACGGUACCCAAAGAAUAAGCACCGGCUAACUUCGUG